rnacentral:rRNA from 1 species
CAAUCACUUGUCUUUUAAAUGAAGACCCGUAUGAAUGGCAAGACGAGGGCUUAACUGUCUCCUCUUUCCAGUCAAUGAAAUUGAUCUCCCCGUGCAGAAGCGGGGAUGCACCCAUAAGACGAGAAGACCCUAUGGAGCUUUAGACACAAGACAGUCCGUCCUUUAAACUCUUAAAUAAAAGAUUACACUAAACGGCCCCUGCCUAAAUGUCUUCGGUUGGGGCGACCGCGGGGAAAUACAAAACCCCCAUGUGGAGUAAGAGCACUCUUCCCCAUCUAACCCCUGCUCUUAAAAACCAGAGAAACAUCUCUAACCAGCAGAACUUCUGACCUUAAUUGAUCCGGCUUAUGCCGACCAACGAACCAAGUUACCCUAGGGAUAACGGCGCAAUCCCCUUUUAGAGCCCA